rfam:Phycisphaerae bacterium SM-Chi-D1, complete genome.
AAUUGAAUCAUGUCUCCAGGACAAGGCCGUUAUGGUCUUGCACGAGGGAACACGGUUAGAAUCCGUGGCGGACGCGCCGCUGUAUUCGCUUUCCGGUCUAAAUGAAACGUCAAUCAAUGCGAUUGACCAGUUCAGGCCGGCGAAUCGGGCGAGAAACCACUGUUGGCAACUUGUUUUAUUUGAUUAACUUAAACACAACAAGCUGCGAGCGGGAAGGUGCCCGAUAUUGAAGCGUAAGUCAGAAAACCUGCCUGAGACAGAAUACUUGU